AUUGAACGCUGGCGGCAUGCUUUACACAUGCCAGUCGAACGGCAGCACGGGCUUCGGCCUGGUGGCGAGUGGCGAACGGGUGAGUAAUAUAUCGGAACGUACCCAGCAGUGGGGGAUAACGUGGCGAAAGUUACGCUAAUACCGCAUACGAUCUAUGGAUGAAAGCAGGGGACCGCAAGGCCUUGUGCUCCUGGAGCGGCCGAUAUCUGAUUAGCUAGUUGGUUAGGUAAAGGCUCACCAAGGCGACGAUCAGUAGCUGGUCUGAGAGGACGACCAGCCACACUGGAACUGAGACACGGUCCAGACUCCUACGGGAGGCAGCAGUGGGGAAUUUUGGACAAUGGGCGCAAGCCUGAUCCAGCAAUGCCGCGUGAGUGAAGAAGGCCUUCGGGUUGUAAAGCUCUUUUGUCAGGGAAGAAACGGUAGAGGCUAAUAUCCUUUGCUAAUGACGGUACCUGAAGAAUAAGCACCGGCUAACUACGUG
rnacentral:rRNA from 1 species